CAAUAGCGUAUAUUAAAGUUGUUGCGGUUAAAAAGCUCGUAGUUGGAUUUCUGCCGAGGACGACCGGUCCGCCCUCCGGGUGAGCAUCUGGCUCGGCCUAGGCAUCUUCUUGGGGAGCGUAUCUGCACUUCAUUGUGUGGUGCGGUAUCCAAGACUUUUACUUUGAGGAAAUUAGAGUGUUUCAAGCAGGCCCACGCCUUGAAUACAUUAGCAUGGAAUAAUAAGGUAGGACCUCGGUUCUAUUUUGUUGGUUUCUAGAAUUGAGGUAAUGAUUAAUAGGGAUAGUUGGGGGCAUUCGUAUUUAACUGUCAGAGGUGAAAUUCUUGGAUUUGUUAAAGACGGACCACUGCGAAAGCAUUUGCCAAGGAUGUUUUCAUUGA
rnacentral:rRNA from 1 species